CAAUCGUAGACAUCUAUGUUUGGGCCAAAUAUAGGCCAGUCUGGACCGGACAUUGAAAUCAAGGCCAGUCCAGACCGGACCAAAUCAGAACUCAACAUAGACUAGCUAGCUACUUUUGAAGUGAAGCUAGCUAGCAGCUAAAAGAGUCGAUAAGAAACUUUUGUCUCUGGGUGCUCUGGAGCCCAAAGGUGUCCCCCCAAUGGACAGAAAUAUUGUCCAGGAAGUAUCUAAUUGGACAGAAAGCAGCACAUCUGACCUCCCUACACUCAUGGCUUGAGCAAAAGCAUUAUGUUUGCCUAAAACAAAGGAUUUAUGUAGUGUAAUGAGAUACAAUUUAUUAAUGUUAGCUAUAUGAUAUCAUAUAAACAUUUAAGCCACAAUUUGAUGCAUACAAGUUCCUCCAUAUUGCAUACUUAAAUGUAUGCUGUUUCUUCUGCCACAAGAUUGGAAAUGUUAGACACUGUCCAAAUUCAGUGCAGAGAUGCCCAGGACUUCGAGGCUUAUUAUGAUUAUGUGUGCGCUAUGCAGGACUCAGCCCCAUUGCCAGCAGUCAAGGCAAACCUGAGUCAAGGGAUGCUUGACUUCAACGGGGAUCGGCUCAAACUGACAAAUCUCUGACCGUCAAUUAACAGCUACACCAUUUCACAGUCAGCAGCAGCUACCAAAACAGACUCGGUGUCGGAGAGCCAGGUAAGCUUCAAGUAGGCUAACCAACUUGAAACUUUAAGUAGGAGCCCCUUGCUUCAUAACCUGUCCUUAUUCCUUGUGCGAUCUCUGUCUGGAAAAGGAAUGACUACCUUCAUCUCUCUACCCAUCUCAGAAAGGUACAGGUUAGACUAUAGGAAGAAGAUUCUAGCCAUCCGCUCCAAGGAGAAUACGUUGAAACUGUUAAGGCACCCUGAGAGUGUCUGACAGCUUAACAAAACCUCGAUACCCUCCAACUCCAUGGUCUUCCAUUGAGAUAGACGUUCUCACUCUCACCAAGGUAGCAAGUUGCAGAGGCAUAUUCACCUGAAUCGACCCAAGGUGCCGCAGUGCACCCACUAACACUCCUUUGUUGUUACUCACCAGGGUUUAGCCAAAAGUGUCUCUUUGGAAAAUAUCUACUUGGCUCAUUGUGUUAAGGCUACAUCAACAUGUUUACAUUAUCUGUUUGUGUUCUCUCUAAUUUGUCUUUUCUAAUGUUCAGCUAUCUGCCAGUGCUCUGUUUCCCUCUAAUGGUGAUGGCGAGUAUGACAUACUCAGAGAAGAUCUGUAUUGAAGUCAUUACACAUUCAACAAUUGCAUGGGCAGAAUCAUGCAUCCUUAUUGUGUGGUAUUUGGGGUUGUGUGUGAGCUCCCGUUGACUGACCUCUCCCCUGCACUGCAGCAUCAAGCCAUGCGUAGGCACAGUGCAGCCUAGGCCGCGUCUCGGAGGUUCCCGAAGGCCUGAAUUUGAGGGCAGGGGCGGCCUCCACUGGGUCAGUCUCAACUGCAACACCCUGGUGGGAGACAAAGGGGCGGCCGGCCCUUGCACAGGAGCUUGCUGAGGACCUCUGGGUCAAAGACGUGGAUCUGCAGAAGUGUGGUUUGUCCGACGAGAGGACACUGUCUCUGCUGGAGGCUCUGAAGUCCAACUCCACUCUGUCCUUGACAUCAGGUGGAACCGCUUAAUGGUACUCCUGGAUCAAGCCCCCGGCCCUCAAAGACCAGAGUUCAGGUGUUUCUCAGCAGCCACACCCCAGAGCCAGCAAGUGUAUCCCAUUGUGCACUGCUAAACGCACUGGACGACAGAGGUGAGGGCCGUCGUCGAGGAGGAGCAGUAAAAUGAUCCCAUUGAAUGAAUGGAAAUGUCAUGUCUUCCUACAGGACGAAACGUGUUUAUCUAGAUCAGUGCUUUCUGUGGUGGUGGUGGUGGGGCAGCCAGCGGAAAAUACGGAGCAUAGGGGUUGGUAAUGUUUUCUAGUUGUGCCGUGAUUGGCUGUGUUCAGUCACUAAUGGGGACACUACGUUACCGCAAAAUCUACGGGGAGAGCAUGAAAAUUAAGGCCCCUUGGGUGCUGUCAUAGAUUUACAUUAGAAGUGCCCAUCUAAGAAGGCUGAAGGUCAUUGGCUAAACGCACUGGACGACAGAGGUGAGGGCAGUCGUCGAGGAAGAGCAGUAAAAUGAUCCCAUUGAAUGAAUGGAAAUGUCAUGUCUUCCUACAGGACGAAACGUGUUUAUCUUUAUAUCAAUAAUAAAGAAUAAAUACUGAAGUCAACUUCCAUUGUCCUCCAUGAGUGGCUGAAUAUUCUCAAGUUUAAUGUUUUAUUAGGAGCAUGUAGAGGAUUCACAUGGUAUACACUGUCCAACAAAAUGCUUACUUGCAGUUUCCUUCUCGACAAUGCAACAACAAUAAUGCAUAAUAAAAGAUAAGAAUACAAACAUAAAGUAACCCUUAGUUCUCUUCAUGUCCUCCUGUCUUGACAGAGGGCUUCCUACAGGCAAUACAGUGGCAGAGCUUUGUGGUAAGCAAUCCAUUUCUCAUAUGAUUAGAGACUAAUUUUGACACAGUGCACAUCGUUAGUGUGGCGUUUUAAAAUGGGACUACUUCAAACUGCAGUGCAUCUCAUGAUUGGCUCAUGUUUGUUUUCCCACAGAAAAAAAAUUAUGCUCUCCAACAAAUACAAAAUAAAAAUGUUUGCAUGUUAUUCUGACAUUUAAUACGUGUCACAUAUCAGUUCGCAAAAAAUGUACAAAAUAAAUACAUUUUGUUAAUA